rnacentral:rRNA from 1 species
GUGGGGAAUAUUGGACAAUGGGCGAAAGCCUGAUCCAGCCAUGCCGCGUGUGUGAAGAAGGUCUUCGGAUUGUAAAGCACUUUAAGUUGGGAGGAAGGGCAGUAAGUUAAUACCUUGCUGUUUUGACGUUACCGACAGAAUAAGCACCGGCUAACUUCGUGCCAGCAGCCGCGGUAAUACGAAGGGUGCAAGCGUUAAUCGGAAUUACUGGGCGUAAAGCGCGCGUAGGUGGUUUUGUAAGUUGGAGGUGAAAUCCCCGGGCUCAACCUGGGAACUGCCUCCAAAACUGCAUGACUAGAGUACGGUAGAGGGUAGUGGAAUUUCCUGUGUAGCGGUGAAAUGCGUAGAUAUAGGAAGGAACACCAGUGGCGAAGGCGACUACCUGGACUGAUACUGACACUGAGGUGUGAAAGCGUGGGGAGCAAACAGGAUUAGAAACCCUAGUAGUCC